GACGAACGCUGGCGGCGUGCUUAACACAUGCAAGUCGAACGGUGAAGCGCCUUCCUUUUUGGUGGGUGUGGAUGAGUGGCGAACGGGUGAGUAACACGUGAGUAACCUGCCCCCUUCUUCUGGAUAACCGCAUGAAAGUGUGGCUAAUACGGGAUAUUCUGGGUCUGUCGCAUGAUGGGUCUGGGAAAGAUAUUGUUUCGGUGGGGGAUGGGCUCGCGGCCUAUCAGCUUGUUGGUGGGGUGAUGGCCUACCAAGGCGGUGACGGGUAGCCGGCCUGAGAGGGUGGACGGUCACACUGGGACUGAGACACGGCCCGGACUCCUACGGGAGGCAGCAGUGGGGAAUAUUGCACAAUGGGCGCAAGCCUGAUGCAGCGACGCCGCGUGAGGGAUGGAGGCCUGCGGGUUGUGAACCUCUUUCGCCAGUGAAGCAGGCCUGCCUCGUUUGUGGGUGGGUUGACGGUAGCUGGAGAAGAAGCGCCGGCUAACUACGUG
rnacentral:rRNA from 1 species